rnacentral:ribozyme from 1 species
CCCCGGCGGCAAUGCCGGGGCAGCAACUAAAACGGCCACACCGUGAACGGGUGCGAGUGUCCCAAGCCACUAUAAACCGUUGAGGGGUUG